UGACUUGUUUUGAAGUCCUUUAUAGAAAAAAAUUAGAGUAAUCCAGAGAAGACUAGCAUGGCCCCUGCACAAGGAUGACAAGCACGCUUGUGAUUCAUCCUAAAUUUCU
ensembl:snRNA U6 U6 spliceosomal RNA